rnacentral:lncRNA from 1 species
GCUAUUUUCAUUCCUUGUCUACUCUUUUCUUUCUAAUAUUUUGAUUAUGAUUAUUUUUUAGUAUUCUAUUUUACGCGUCACAGCAAUUAGGGAUUGAGAAUCUAUAUCUUUAGAUCAAAGAAGGGUCUAGCUGUUGGAAUAAUGGGAUCCAUUGCUAUUUGAGCCCUUGUUGUUAGUAAAAUUGGUGAAUUAAGCGAAGGUACGACUGUUGGAAUAAUGGUACCCCUCUAUUAGAAUAGAAAUUCUUAAAAAAAAUUUAGAUUUGAUUGUAUGGUGUAUACUCGUUAUGCACGAAAAAUUGGCAGUUAUUCUAUUUUCAUCAUAGAAUGAUUAUUCGGUCGAAUUUCGUGUACGGAAAUUAAUAACUGCAAUCACGAAACAAAUGUAAAGAAAAAUACUUUUUUUAAUAAAACUUGUGAGUACAACUCUGUGUAUCCCCUGAUUCUUGUCUCUAAUUUGUUUUCCUUGAUUCGAGGGCUGAAGCAGCGUAUUUCUCGAGCGCAGGAUGAUGUGGACCUCCUUGUGAUUUACUUGAUCGUCAAGAAGAGUUAGUAGCGCUUCGGAUUGAUCACGAGGGACAACUUCUCUUGAUCAC